rnacentral:rRNA from 1 species
AUUGAACGCUGGCGGCAGGCCUAACACAUGCAAGUCGAGCGGAUGAAGGGAGCUUGCUCCUGGAUUCAGCGGCGGACGGGUGAGUAAUGCCUAGGAAUCUGCCUGGUAGUGGGGGAUAACGUCCGGAAACGGGCGCUAAUACCGCAUACGUCCUGAGGGAGAAAGUGGGGGAUCUUCGGACCUCACGCUAUCAGAUGAGCCUAGGUCGGAUUAGCUAGUUGGUGGGGUAAAGGCCUACCAAGGCGACGAUCCGUAACUGGUCUGAGAGGAUGAUCAGUCACACUGGAACUGAGACACGGUCCAGACUCCUACGGGAGGCAGCAGUGGGGAAUAUUGGACAAUGGGCGAAAGCCUGAUCCAGCCAUGUCGCGUGUGUGAAGAAGGUCUUCGGAUUGAAAGCACUUUAAGUUGGGAGGAAGGGCAGUAAGUUAAUACCUUGCUGUUUUGACGUUACCAACAGAAUAAGCACCGGCUAACUUCGUG